UACGGAGGGGGCUAGCGUUGUUCGGAAUCAUUGGGCGUAAAGAGCUCGUAGGCGGUGUGUCGCGUCGGCCGUGAAAACCUGCAGCUUAACUGUGGGCUUGCGGUCGAUACGGGCAUCACUGGAGUUCGGCAGGGGAGACUGGAAUUCCUGGUGUAGCGGUGAAAUGCGCAGAUAUCAGGAGGAACACCGGUGGCGAAGGCGGGUCUCUGGGCCGAUACUGACGCUGAGGAGCGAAAGCGUGGGGAGCGAACAGG
rnacentral:rRNA from 1 species